CAGAGGUGGCAAGCGUUGUUCGGAAUUACUGGGCGUAAAGGGCGCGUAGGUGGCCUUCUUAGUCAGACGUGAAAUCCCCGGGCUUAACCUGGGAACUGCAUUCCGAACUGUCAAGCUAGAGUAUGAUAGAGGGUGGUGGAAUUCCGAGUGUAGCGGUGAAAUGCGUAGAUAUUCGGAGGAACACCAGUGGCGAAGGCGACCACCUGGAUCAAUACUGACGCUGAGGUACGAAAGCGUGGGGAGCAAACAGG
rnacentral:rRNA from 1 species